GACGAACGCUGGCGGCGUGCUUAACACAUGCAAGUCGAACGGAAAGGCCCUGCUUUUGUGGGGUGCUCGAGUGGCGAACGGGUGAGUAACACGUGAGUAACCUGCCCUUGACUUUGGGAUAACUUCAGGAAACUGGGGCUAAUACCGGAUAGGAGCUCCUGCUGCAUGGUGGGGGUUGGAAAGUUUCGGCGGUUGGGGAUGGACUCGCGGCUUAUCAGCUUGUUGGUGGGGUAGUGGCUUACCAAGGCUUUGACGGGUAGCCGGCCUGAGAGGGUGACCGGCAGAGGGAGGAUGGGGCGGCGGACGAGCGGCUGAGGGGGGCAGGGAGGGGGUAGGAUGGCAGAGGGGGCGGAGCACGGCACCAGCACCGCGGGGGGCGUGAUGCCGGCUGGGUGUUGGUAACUCGGCGCCGGCUGGGAAGAAGCGUGGGGGAGAGUAAUGGGUAAAGCAGCACGUGAAAACGCCUGGCCAGCAGCCGCGGUAAAAAAGGACGAGCCCACCCUGAAC
rnacentral:rRNA from 1 species